UACAGAGGUCUCAAGCGUUGUUCGGAUUCAUUGGGCGUAAAGGGUGUGUAGGUGGCGCGCUAAGUCGGGUGUGAAAUUUCGGAGCUUAACUCCGAAACUGCAUUCGAUACUGGCGUGCUUGAGGACUGGAGAGGAGACUGGAAUUAGGUGUAGCGUGAAAUGCGUAGAGUAUCAUGAGGAAGACCAGUGGCGAAGGCGGGUCUCUGGACAGUUCCUGACGCUGAGGCACGAAGGUCAGGGGAGCAAACGGG
rnacentral:rRNA from 1 species